rnacentral:lncRNA from 1 species
GUCUUUCGUUUCACUAUCAAGCUCUCCCAAUAAACGUGUACAGAAUAAUCCUGUUGUGGCAUCCUUCUUGCUGGUGAGUCAGGCAUCUACAAGUGGUGCCGAAACCCGGGAACAAGACAUCUUAAGGCACAAACAAAGACCCUCAAGAAAGGGAGGAUUCAAAACUACAUUUCGUGAGAGAAUUAAGAAACAGAAAAACAGAAUCAUCCGAAAACAUAGUAUCUCAAAGACAGAGGGUCCUCAGGAAAAGCAACAACGUGUAGAAUUGUCAUCAACCAGCAACUUCCAAGCUGUAAGCGAACUCCUGACCUUUGAAGGACUUUCAGCAAUUCCUUCUAGCAGACUUCAGUCUUCUCAGAAGCCUC